UGACCUCAGGUCAGGCAAGGGUACCCCCUGAACUUAAGCAUAUCACUAAGGGGAGGAAGAGAAACUAACAAGGAUUCCCUCAGUAACGGCGAGUGAAGCGGGAAGAGCUCAAGCAUUGGAAUCUCCACAAGCUUCUUUUUUGUGGCGAGUUGUAGUCUUUAUGGGAUGCGGGCCGUCGCAUGUCUUUAUGAUGGUGCACAGCUUUUGUUGUGCAUUGUUGUUUGGCGCAGCACCGAGUUUCCUUGGAAGAGGACACCGGAGAGGGUGAGAGUCCCGUUGGUGCUACAUUAUUUGCGCUGAUGUGCGGUGUGUGGUCCGUUUAUUCUCUUGAGUCGGGUUGUUUGGGAAUGCAGCCCAAAGCCGGGUGGUAAACUGCAUCCAAGGCUAAAUACUGGCACGAGACCGAUAGCGAACAAGUACCGUGAGGGAAAGAUGAAAAGCACUUUGAAAAGAGAGUUAAACAGUACGUGAAACCGUUGACAGAGAAUCGCUUGCAGCUAGCAGAGACUGGGCGCGCCUUGUGAUCAGGGCUUUUGGUGUGGUGUGUGAUGAUAGUGCGGGGGGUGUUUUGUGUGUACUUGUUGCACAUAUGCGCCGCUGCGUUGCUGUUGUUGUGUGCUGCGCUGCCUGCACUCGCGGGGCGUGUCUGCCAGCAUGAGUUUUGUGUGUGAGAGACGGCGAUGCGAGGGCGCCCUUGUGCGUGGCGCAUCUGCUUUUUAUGUUUCUGUCGCACGCGGGACUGAGGAAAUUAUCGAUGCGGUGGCUUUGUUAUGUGGUCUUUGGCAUGGGUGCUGUUUUCGGCAUUGUGUUGCGCAGACUCUUGUUUUGGGAUGAGGGAGACUCGUUCUCUUGUGCUGUUGACAGAGUGUGUGCGGGCGGUGUUGGGAAUGUUGCGCUUGCCGCUUGGCGCACACCACCGGGGAGAUGCUGGCGACAGGGCUGCAAACGGCCCGUCUUGAAACACGGACCAAGGAGUCUAACAUGUGCGCGAGUGUUUUAGCGAGCAUGAAGCUAGGGCGCGCAAUGAAAGUGAGAGGUGGGAUGCAGUGUUGUGGAAGUGUGCGUGAGUACACUUUUAACAGCACUCGCAGCACCAUCGACCGAUCUGGAUUGGGGGAGGGGGAAAAGCACUUUUGUGUGGCUUCCACCUCCUCCGCUGAAGGAUUUGCGUUUUAGCGCAGAUGUUAGGACCCGAUAGAUGGUGAACUAUGCCUGAGUAGGGCGAAGCCAGAGGAAACUCUGGUGGAGGCUCGUAGCGAUCAUGACGUGCAAAUCUGUCGUCGAACUUGGGUAUAGGGGCGAAAGACUCAUCGAACCAUCUAGUAGCUGGUUCCCACCGAAGUUUCCCUCAGGAUAGCUGAGACUUAUUUUUUGAUCUUUUGGUUAGUUUUAUCUGGUAAAGCGAAUGAUUAGAGGCCUUGGGGGAGCCACUUCCCUCAACCUAUUCUCAAACUUUAAAUGGGUAAGGCGGCGCGCUUUCUUUGUUUAUGAAGCGGGCAAUGCUGAAUAACCGAGUCUCAAGUGGGCCCAUUUUUGGUAAGCAGAACUGGCGAUGCGGGAUGAACCGAACGCGGAGUUAGGGUGCCGGAAUCGACGCUCAUGAGAACCCACAAAAGGUGUUGGUUGAUAUAGACAGCAGGACGGUGGCCAUGGAAGUCGGAAUCCGCUAAGGAGUGUGUAACAACUCACCUGCCGAAUCAACUAGCCCUGAAAAUGGAUGGCGCUCAAGCGUCGUACCUAUACUCCGCUGUGUGUGGAAGAAAGCGAGCGAAGCGAGCAUUCGUGCUUGUUGCGUCUCAAAACUACAUGUAGCCACACACAAGUAGGUGGGCGUGGAGGUGUUUGCGUGAGAGCAAUCUUUUGAACAAGCCGUGGAAGCCUGUGGCGUGAGCCUGGGUGGAGGGGCCUCCAGUGCAGAUCUUGGUGACAGUAGCAACGAUUCAAAUGAGAUCUUUGAAGACUGAAGUGGAGCAAGGUUCCGUGGGAACAGCAGUUGGCCACGGGUGAGUCGGUCCUAAGAGAUGGGGCAGUCCUGUGUCAAGUGGGGAGUUGUUGCGCGUGUGUGGGUGGUGGUGAUAUUAUCGCCAUGCUUGCACACGUGUUGAUUACCCCAGUCCAUCGAAAGGGAACCAGGUUAAGAUUCCUGGACCAACGCACGCCACAAAGAAUGUUUUGAUAGAGCAGCGGCAACGCGUACAAACUCGGAGACGCUGCCGGGGGCCCUGGAAAGAGUUUUCUUUUCUUUUUAACGAGCUGCAUUGUGGGGAGGAGUAGGGGGAAGAGUGUUAGUUUAUUCUGCGCUCUUCAACCUUCCUCCUUUACAUUCUCUGACCCUGGAAUCAGUUUGGCUGGAGAUGGGGUGAGAGGCUCGGCAAAGCACCACUGACCUUUUUUUGUUGUGGUGUCCGGCGCGUUCCCGGCGGUCCAUGAAAAUCCGAGGGUGUGAAUGGUAGCAGUGUGGGGGGAAGAAGAGAAGCACUUGUGCUAAUCUAUUUUCUCCGCUGCAUGUGGGCGUGGUUGGCCGUACUGAUAACCGCAGCAGGUCUCCAAGGUGAAGAGCCUCUAGUUUGAUAGACGAAUGUAGGUAAGGGAAGUCGGCAAAAUAGAUCCGUAAGCUCGCGAUAAGGAUUGGCUCAAGAGGUUGAUUGUGUGUGUGGGGGGUGGGGGUGAAAGGGGGUGUGCUUGCAUGCCGCUCUUGCACCUUCACUCUCUGCGCACACUGUUUUUUUAGCAACCGAUCUUGAACUGGUACGGACAAGGGGAAUCCGACUGUUUACUUAAAACAAAGCAUUGCGAGGAUAGGCUGUUGCGACGGUGUAGACGCAAUGUGAUUUCUGCCCAGUGCUCAGAAUGUCAACGUGAAGAAAUUCAAGCCAAGCGCGGGAUCAACGGCGGAAGUAACUAUGACUUUCUUAAGGUAGCCAAAUGCCUCGUCAUUUAACUGGUGACGCGCAUGAAUGGAUUAACGAGAUUCCCACUGUCCCUAUCUACGCUCUAGCGAAACCGCAGCCAAGGGAACGGACUUGGCACAAUCAGCGGGGAAAGAAGACCCGCUAGAGCUUGACUCUAGUCCGACCGUGUGAAAAGACACCAGAGGUGUAGCAUAGGUGGGAGCAGGUGUGGGUUUACUUGUGCUUGCGGCCUUGAAAUACCACUACUCUGGUCGUUUUUUUGCUUAUUGAAUGACACGGGGCUGGUGUGGGUGAUUGUGGUGUGCGUAGCGCGCAUUUCUUGUGUGAGCUGUGCGCACCUGAUCACACAUGUGCACCAUUUCUGGAGAAAGGGAGGGCAGCGUGGAGUGUUCUUGCACUUUAUGUUAUGCCGAUCCCGACCCGCUUUCAAGACGAGGUCAGGUGGGGAGUUUGGCUGGGGCGGCACAUCUGUAAAACGAUAACGCAGGUGUCCCAAGGUGAGCUCAAUGAGAACGGAAAUCUCAUGUGGAGUAAAAGGACAAAAGCUCACUUGAUUUUGUGAUUUUCAGGAUGAAUACAAACUGUGAAAGCAUGGCCUAUCGAUCCUUUAGUCGCGGCGGAUAAGAGUGAACAACGCACUCGUGCGUCUAAGCUCCCAUUCUGCACUGCGCCUGUUGACAGCUUCAACCUAGAGGUGUCCGAAAAGUUACCGGCGGGAUAACUGGCUUGUGGCAGCCAAGCGUUCAUAGCGACGUUGCUUUUUGAUCCUUCGAUGUCGACUCUUCCUAUCAUUGUGAANNNNNNNNNNNNNNNNNNNNNNNNNNNNNNNNNNNNNNNNNNNNNNNNNNNNNNNNNNNNNNNNNNNNNNNNNNNNNNNNNNNNNNNNNNNNNNNNNNNNUGUUCACCCACUAAUAGGGAACGUGAGUUGGGUUUAGACCGUCGUGAGACAGGUUAGUUUUACCCUACUGAUGAUUUUUAUGAGUUACACAGUUGUGAUAGUAAUUCAACUCAGUACGAGAGGAACCGUUGAUUCGGAUAGUUGGUUCAUGCGGUUGGCUGAGGAGCCAGGGCCGCGACGCUAUCAUCCGUAGGAUUAUGACUGAACGCCUCUAAGUCAGAAUCCAUGCUAGAUUUGCGCAGCUGUACUGUUGCUGGUGGUGGCAUGUAAAAGUGUUGCUGCCAGUGGUUUUUGGUUUCUCUUCGAGAUUUGAUGGUGGCGGUGUGUUGUGUGCAUUGCUGUGGCAACACAGUCGUGUGUGCUCUGCACUGUCAUUUGUUGUAAUAGCAGGCGAACAGGAAUAGGUGUGCACGCCUUGGUGUGCAUGCUCUGCGUCGGAAGUAAGCUUUAUUUUGUGCACCCACACGGUGUGUUGCAGCUGCCUGGAAGCGGGCUUGGCUGUGUGUGUGGGUGUGAUCUCUCACGAGAGAAAGCGCGCAUCUUGAAGGGGUUGAUCCUUUGCAGACGACUUAAUGGGCGAGGUGUUGUGAGCAGUAGAGUAGCCUUGCUGCUACGAUCUGCUGAGACUCUGCCUUGGGCGCUGCGCCAGC
rnacentral:rRNA from 1 species